GGGAAUGUGGCUUAGUGGUAGAGUGCUUGCCUAGCAUGCAUGAAGCCCUGGGUUUGAUUCCUCAGUAUACCA
rfam:Dipodomys ordii contig_71816, whole genome shotgun sequence.